UGGGGAAUCUUGCGCAAUGGGCGAAAGCCUGACGCAGCGACGCCGCGUGAGUGAUGAAGGCCUUCGGGUUGUAAAGCUCUGUGGGGAGAGAAGAAUAAGUGUUGGCUAAUAUCCAGCAUGAUGACGGUAUCUCCUUAGCAAGCACCGGCUAACUCUGUGCCAGCAGCCGCGGUAAGACAGAGGGUGCAAACGUUGUUCGGAAUUACUGGGCGUAAAGCGUGUGUAGGCGGCUUUGCAAGUCGGAUGUGAAAGCCCCGGGCUCAACCCGGGAAGUGCACUCGAUACUGCAGAGCUAGAGUGUGGGAGAGGUUGGUGGAAUUCUCGGUGUAGAGGUGAAAUUCGUAGAUAUCGAGAGGAACACCGGCGGCGAAGGCGGCCAACUGGACCACGACUGACGCUGAGACACGAAAGCGUGGGGAGCAAACAGGAUUAGAUACCCGCGUAGUCC
rnacentral:rRNA from 1 species